GACCACCCAGGAGCUUGGCUGCGCCUGCUGCAGUCUGCGUUUCUGAUAAAUUGAAACCAGUUUUAAUUCUUCUGCCCGGGAGACCUAACCGCCGAAUGCGUUCGGAGCUGUACUGGAACCCAAGGAGAUGUUCACAAGGAAGAUGGAAAGUAAGCUGUGUAACAUCAGCAUUGGGAGCAAGAGCCACAAACCUCAUUUUCAAGUUGGGAAGAAACUCAGGACCCGAGAAGCUACAGGAUUCAGCCCAGUCACAGAGCUUGGUGUGUAUUUGUUCAUUCGCGCACUGCUAUAAAGAAAUACCUGAGACUGGGUAAUUUAUAAAGAAAAGAAGUUAAUUGACUCAGUUCUGCAGGCAAUACAGGAAGCAAGAUGCUGUCAUCCGCUUGGCUUCAGGUCUAAUAUCCAGAAUCUACAAGGAACUUAAACAAAUUUACAAGGAAAAAACAAAUAACCCCAUCAAAAAUAGGACAAAGGAUAUGAACAGACACUUCUCUAAAGAAGACAUUUAUGCGACCAACAAACAUGAAAAAAUGCUCAUCAUCACUGGUCAUUAGAGAAAUGCAAAUCAAAACCACAACGAGAUACCAUCUCACGCCAGUUAGAAUGGUGAUCAUUAAAAAGUCUGGAAACAACAGAUGCUGGAAAGGAUGCGGAGAAAUUGGUAUGCUUUUACAUUGUUGGUGGGAGUGUAAAUUAGUUCAACCAUUGUGGAAGACAGUGUGGCAAUUCCUCAAGGAUCUAGAGCUAGAAAUACCAUUUGACCCAGCAAUCCCAUUACUGGGUAUAUACCCAAAGGAUUAUAAAUCAUUAUACUAUAAAGGCACAUGCACACAUAUGUAUAUUGCAGCACUCAAAAUUCUUUUAAGGAGAAGUUUCCACUUUCCUUAUCGUUGUAUACGCUUCCCUCUUUUAAUUACAUGUUGAGUCCUUCCCUCAUUUAGGCUUGAGAAAAAUGUCCUUAAGUGUCCUAAACUUGCAUUAAACCCACUUACUCAUCAAACCCCACUUAUGACUUCCCUUAGAGGACAAGAGACAUUUCAGCUCAGUUAUAUACUGCUGUUCUCAAUUCCUGCCAUUUUUUUUCCUCUUCCUUUGACCUGCUGGCCUAGGUCUCCAGCUCACUGAAAACAGCCUCCCCUGAUGAGCACACCAUUGUUAUGUAAUAGCCUAACCCUUACCCCUCGCCUAUCAGGGGGUGCCAAGCCUGCAGACUCACUCUGCUUUCCUCAUAACUGCCCUGAGGAGAAGGCUGAAGACUGAGGAAUCCUCUUUCUGCCUCCCAUUUGACUGCAUUUUCUUUGGUCAGAGUCUCCCUUAUUCAUGGGACCUGCCUGGGUCCAGGACCCCUUGACAGGUGCUCUCUGGCUGCCUGUCCUCUGGGCACUCUUGUCCCAGGUCUAUUGUUUUCAUGACCCACCAGGAUGGCGCUUCACUUCCUCAGAAAUUGUGAUCCCCAGGAAAGUGCCCCACAGGAGGGGUGGAGUUGAGAUGCCAGACCAGCUCUCUUACAGCAUGCAUUUCCGGGGCCGAAGACACGUGAUUCACAUGAAGCUCAAGAAGAACAUGAUGCCCAGACAUUUACCUGUUUUUACUAAUAAUGACCAAGGGGCCAUGCAGGAGAACUACCCUUUUGUCCCACGAGACUGUUACUACGAUUGCUACCUGGAAGGGGUUCCUGGGUCUGUGGCCACAUUGGACACCUGCCGUGGAGGUCUGCGUGGCAUGCUGCAGGUGGAUGACCUGACUUAUGAAAUCAAACCCCUGGAGGCUUUUUCCAAAUUUGAGUAUGUAGUAUCUCUGCUUGUGUCAGAAGAAAGACCAGGAGAGGUCAGUAGAUGUAAGACUGAAGGGGAAGAGAUAGAUCAAGAAUCUGAAAAGGUAAAACUGGCUGAAACUCCCAGAGAAGGCCACGUUUAUUUGUGGAGGCAUCAUAGAAAAAACUUGAAACUUCACUACACAGUUACUAAUGGAUUAUUCAUGCAGAACCCUAAUAUGUCACACAUAAUAGAGAAUGUAGUGAUUAUUAACAGCAUCAUACAUACCAUUUUCAAACCAGUUUAUUUAAAUGUCUAUGUACGUGUUUUGUGCAUAUGGAAUGAUAUGGAUAUAGUAAUGUAUAACAUGCCUGCCGACCUGGUUGUAGGAGAGUUUGGUUCGUGGAAAUAUUAUGAAUGGUUUUCACAAAUUCCACAUGAUACCUCAGUUGUUUUUACAUCAAAUUGACUUGGAAACAGUGAGUGUUAUGCCAGCUUUGACGGAAUAUGCAACCCCAACUGGGGAGCAAUGUUUGUGUAUAUAAUGAGGUAUCACCUAUUUAGGGGGGCAUGUGUUACAGCACAUGCACUAGGUCAUAACAUGGGCUUGAGACAUGAUUCUGUUGGUUGUUAUUGUUUUCGACGAACCAACUAUCUCAUGGCUCCUGUUCCUGAUCUUAAUGAUAUGAUGAGCAAUUGUUCUUAUGAGAUAAUUCAACGCAAGUUUAAUCAAUGGGAUCCUUGUUUGAGUGCUCCAAAUUUUCCAUACCUAAUUUUCCAUACGUAGCUCCUCGUUGUGGAGACAAUAUCAAAAAUCAGAGGGAAGAAUGUGACUGUGGCUCCCUUAAAGAUUGUGCCAGUGAUAGAUGUUGUGAGACCUCUUGUACCCUUUCUCUUGGCAGUGUUUGCAAUACAGGACUUUGCUGCCAUAAGUGUAAAUAUGCUGCCCCUGGAGUGGUUUGCAGAGACUUGGGUGGUAUAUGUGAUCUACCAAAAUACUGUGAUGGGAAAAAGGAAGAGUGUCCAAAUGACAUCUACAUCCAGGAUGGAACCCCAUGUUCAGCAGUAUCUGUUUGUAUAAGAGGAAACUGCAGUGACCGUGAUAUGCAGUGUCAAGCCCUUUUUGGCUACCAAGUGAAAGACGGUUCCCCAGCGUGCUAUCAAAAAUUGAAUAGGAUUGGUAACUGAUUUGGAAACUGUGGGGUUAUUCUACGGCGAGGGGGAAGUAGACCUUUUCCAUGUGAAGAAGAUGAUGUUUUCUGUGGAAUGUUGCACUGUAGCGGUGUCAGCCACAUUCCCGGUUGAGCUGAGCACACUACAUUUCGUAAUAUAUUAGUACACGACAUAAAAGAAGAAAAAUGCUUUGGCUAUGAAGCACACCAGGGGACAGACUUGCCAGAAAUGGGGCUGGUAGUGGAUGGUGCAACCUGUGGCCCAGGGAGCUACUGUCUUAAACACAAUUGUACUUCUUAUCAAGACCUGCAUUUUGAGUGUGAUCUUAAAACAUGCAAUUACAAAGGAGUAUGUAACAACAAAAAACAUUGUCACUGUCUGCAUGGGUGGCAACCACCAACAUGUGAACUGAGAGGAAAAGGAGGUAGUAUAGAUAGUGGCCCUCCACCUGACAAACAAUAUCGUAUUACAGCCAGCACACUUGCGAAUAUAAACUGAGCACUACUUUUAAUAUUUACUCGUUGCAUCCUUUUUCUGGUUUCACUUCUCUUUGGUGGCUUUUCACAAGCAAUAGAAUUUAUGGAAGAGAAAAUAAUGAAAACUACUGAACCUAAUGAGUAAAUACUAAUGGAAGCCCACACAAUGGAGAAAAUCACGUUGACACUUACUGGGAGUUAUAAUCAAUAGUCACUCUGACGGUUACAUCACCUUUUAGCAAUUCUGAUGUCAUCUUGAAGUAAAAUCACUUGGCAAUUUAAAAAGGGUCUGUGUGUUUAAAUUUACUUCACAUUUCAUGUGUGGUCGUAUUCUCAAUACUUCUAUAGAUGACGGCAGAAACUCUUAGAUUCACUAACAAGAGGACCUGUACUCAUUUAAGAUUUGGGGCUAAUGUUUUCUAGAUACCCCUGUGGCAAAUCCCGUGUACACUAAU
rnacentral:lncRNA from 1 species